UUUUCCUACGGGAGGCAGCAGUGAGGAAUAUUGGUCAAUGGGCUUACGCCUGAACCAGCCAAGUCGCGUGAGGGAAGACUGCCCUAUGGGUUGUAAACCUCUUUUGUCAGGGAGCAAUUGGCGCUACGUGUAGCGUUAUCGAGAGUACCUGAAGAAAAAGCAUCGGCUAACUCCGUGCCAGCAGCCGCGGUAAUACGGAGGAUGCGAGCGUUAUCCGGAUUUAUUGGGUUUAAAGGGUGCGUAGGCGGGCAUUUAAGCCGGCGGUCAAAUGUCGGGGCUCAACCCCGGCCUGCCGUCGGAACUGG
rnacentral:rRNA from 1 species